CCGCGUGCGCCCUGGCGCUGAAGGACAGCCGAGAGGAAGGGGUCUGGGCGGGCGCGGCGGCUGGGGCAGGCGUGCUGCGUUCUGCGCCGCUCCGCCAGGGGGAGGCGGCGCGGAAGGGCCGUUGAGACGCGCCAGCGGGGGCGGAGAACCCGGCGAACGGGUGGAAGGUGCUGAGGGAGGCGGUGAGCGGAACGGCGACGACAACAAUGGCCUUUGUUCCGCACGCGGAGCGGCCCCUUUAAGAGCCUGGAAGUGGCACGGGAAGUCCGGGCAGGGCGCAGCAGUGGCUCCGCGCGGUCCUACAGUAGGCGGCGGAGGAGACGAGGAGCCCCGAGUAGGGAUGCGGUGGCUGGGGGGGCCUCGCCGCCCCACGCACACACACUAUGGAGAAGGGAGCUCCGCGCUUCGCAAAGAGCGAGCGUGGCGCGACGCCCGGCGCUCAAAGGGAAGCACCGCGCCUUAGCUGGCGUGCUGGGGACGCGGACUCUUUCAGCCCUUAUGGCGUGGCCGCGGCGCGGAAGCGCCCGGCUCUGUUUUGUCGGUCGGGUUCCAAGCCUCGGGGUCCGCCUGGGCUUCCCGCAGCACGGCGAACACAUGGGGUCACGGAGCGGUGUGUGCGUGUUGCAGAGCGGCACAGCGCUAACGCAGGCAGGCGCGUACAGCUGCGCCGCGUUUGUUCGUAACUUCCACGGGAAUGUCGGGUGUGAUCUCUGGACGAACGUCAGAGACAAGUAGUGUGGGGUGGGUUGCGUUUCCUUGUUUUGGAGAUGGGUCGCUUUGAAUUGGAGGCUUCUGUUCUCAGCGGGUCAGCAAUAAGAGUGCUGCUGGUUUUGGGAACAGAAAAAGUGGUCCUUUCCUCGCCUUGGUGCAGUGUGUUCCCGAGUUGUCUGGAGAGGGAUGCAUCCAUGUCGGGAGAGAGCCAAGGAAAUGUGUACUGGAGUCUUCAAAUGACUGACCACUGAUUUUUCAUUACACUUAAAAUAGACAUUUUACAUCACACACAGUGUGUUUGGGGCCAUGUGUGAGGUCAUAACCCUCCCUUGUUCCUGCUGUUUCUGUGGAUAUCUCCUGCUCUUCCAUCCCAGCCUUCAUCACAAGAUGUGCUUCACAGGAAGAUCAGAGGCUUCUUAUGCCACCUCUCCUUCCGUCUGGUGCAGAGGGCCAUGGUACUUCAGCUGUGCAGUGCUACCACCCUCUGGCCACUUUAAUUCCACAGUCCUCAAUCUGCAGGAGUCUCUGAACUCAGUCAUAUGCCUCCUGAGUCUACUCUGUGAGAUAGAUUUCACCCUUUGAAGCCUCUCCUUACAGGUGAUAGGUUGACACACUCUUUCCUAGAAGCACUGUGGAUUAGGAGGGCUAAGACUGAAGAGUUCACUCUGAGGCUUUGCCCAGACUUCUCACCUGAUCUCUAAAACCUGUUUGAAGAUGUCAUUAUGUUUGCGACAGAAGCUUAGAAGAGGAAGCCAGGAGGCAGCACACUGACAUAUGAACCUUCAUAUGGUUUUGUAAAGAAUCUGUUCAACAAGAUGUCAGAAAUGGGCAUUUUAUCUGCCAUUCAAGCCUAUACGUAGAUUUUUCUUUCAGCAGAGCAGUUCAUGCUGGAAGUGGAUUUUGGUUUUAAUUUUGUUGUUGUUGUUCUCUCCUUGAUGCAGACAAUAUAAUGGUACAAACUCUUGCAAAGACAUCAUUGUUUCAGUGGAAAUUUAUCCAUAGUACAUGGUCUACUUUUUGCCUGACAGUGGCUAUUAUUGGCCUUGUAUACAUAGAAAGUUGUAAAACAAUGUUAAAAGGUUGAACUACUGGAAGAGUAGUUAAAGUCCCACAAUUAGGAGAGUAGUUAAAGUCCCACAGUUGUUAUGUGUAGACAAUCCGUGAGUGCCAGCAGUGCUGUUUCAUUUCUCAGGUUCAAAGUGGGAAGAGAGGACAUAGUUCAAUUUUAUCUUAGAACAGUGUCUCAUUUUAUAGCAGUCAAUAUGUCUAUGGAAAAGGGGCCUACUCUGUGUUCUCUGCCCUCAAUUCCUUAUCAGAAAUGAUAAGGAAUCUGAUCCAAACAGUUUAUUCUGUAAAUCUUAGUUUAGUCUGUAAAUAUCUGAAUACUGAAGAGCCUACAAUCUUUUUUCACUUCGGGAAAAGAAAAAAUAAAAUAAAAACAACCGGAAGAGUCUGGUAGCAUGUCUACAUUUAUCAAAAAUAAAUAAUCCUAUCUUUUCUUCUCAUCUACUCUCAUGUCCAUAAUCAAGUGCUUAUUUAUAUAAAGAACAAAAACAAGCAAGAAAAAAAUGGAAAGAAAGAAAAACCACAACCACACAACUACUGUGCCUAAUAUUUUGCUAUGAAAAUGUGCUUCACAAAAUUAAUGACAACUUUCAAAUCUCUAGAUUCUGACUCGUCAGAACUCAUAUUUCCCUUUUCCAUGUCCACCCACAGGAGAGGUACUGGCUACCUACCUGAAGGAAGAGAAAGCCAUGGCAAAAUGAUAUUCCUUGCAUUAUGCCUUUUAGUAACCAAAAUCACAGGCUGUAGAAAGGAGCAAAUUUCAAAUGUGUAGAAAUUUCCUACAAAGAAUGGACUUUACCUUUCAUUUCUCUCUGGGGACCAACAUAAAAAUGUGUGUCUUCAGUUGAUGAAAUCUGUGGUGAGCAAAGCUGUUGGCUUCACAACAUGGUUUGUCUUUGGAGGUACUGCAUCUUAUGCCAUUUUCUAGUGUUUGUCAUAUGAUGUCCUAUAUAAUAAAAUAAAUAUUACUAGCAAAACACAAUUUAAUCAUCCAAUAAAUAUUAAGUUCAUAAGUCAAACAUCUGAUUAAAUAAGUUGCAACUUAUUUUCCCAGCCGAUUUGGAUUCCUUUGGAGAGAGAGAUGUUGAGCUACAUUUGUCAUAUUUGAUGGAAGUGCCAACACUUAUUUGUAACCAAGACAAAGAAUCUUAUACUAUAGCUUGAAAGCUGUCAUUAGCAUUUAGUGGAUAAAACCAUGUUUAAGGCCAACCAGCCUUCUGCUCUGCAGAUGGAUGUCUCUUCCAUCAUAAUCUACCCAGAUACCAAAGGUGAGGAAAGCAUAUCUUGGAGAUAUCAACUUGAUAUAACUUCCCAUAGAUGAGUCUUCCAAGACACAGAGAAUCCUUUCUUAAGCUUCGUUACAAGCUGGAAAUCUUCCAGCAACCAACUUCGCAAUACAAAUAACACUUCUUUUUUUUCUUGUUUUCCCCCAGAAGCUUGAGUAGUUUCUAUGAUACCUUUGUCUUCAAAGAUCUCAAAUCACCAGGCUAGCCCCUGUUUAUUAAACACCAAAUUCUUCUAGCUGCUCACUAGCCAGUAUGUCUGACCAAUACAGAACAGAGGAAAGAGGAAGGAAAAUUGGUAUACAUUACAUUUUGAAAGCAUGAAAUCCAUAAUGAGAAAAGUGAGGAAACUCACAAGUCCAGGCUCCUACCCUGGAAACACUUGUUGCCAGCUGGUUCUAUUUCAAGUGCCUAAUUCGAUGCUAAGUGCCAUAUUAUUGUACAAUAAAUUUAAAAAAGAAAAGAAAAAGAUAAAAGAAAAAAGACAAUGAUUGAAAGGUUGCUU